rnacentral:lncRNA from 1 species
UCUUGGGUGCGCAUAUACUUUUUCAAUCUAAAAUAUACUUAAAAUUUGAUGAAAAAACAAGGAAAAUCACGAAAUUUAACAAAAUAUCCAAAUUAGGUAAUAAUUUGUUGCCAUGGUAACUUGUUCGAUGUCAAAUUUGUUUUGUUUUUCUUAGUACCUUAUACCUUAGUCAAGUUUUCGGUAAUUUAAGAAUAUGUAUGAUGACUUUUAAAUUUGCAGUAAUUUUUGGGCCAAAUAAGGGCCUUAUUGCCCCUACUCCUUUAU